rnacentral:lncRNA from 1 species
GCUAACUGAAAAUGUGUACCUACGAGGCACUGGAAAAAGGCUGAAAUAAAAGAACUAAAAGGACAACACGGACUAAGUUAUUCCUUGUUAGCCAGGCACAACAUGGUGUCAGAGUGACCAACUACACCGCGGACCCACACUUUUGAAAAAAAAGAAAAAAAAAGAAGAGAAAAUGGAGGCUUAUGGAGUGCCUGCCCCGAAAAUGGACUGGGACUCCAGCAACUUGCCCGACGCAUGGCGCCGCUUCAAACAACAUGUGGAACUCAUGUUUACAGGACCACUCAAAAAUAGGUCGGAGGAACAAAAAUGCAGUUUCCUAUUGUUGUGGAUCGGGGAUAAAGGACGAGAUAUCAGUAAUACAUGGACUCUCACUGAGGACCAAGCCAAGGAGCUGGAAACGUAUUACAACGGCUUCUCAACAUACCUCACCCCGAAAGCUAACCCCAUUUUCGCCAGAUACAAGUUUCACGAGAAAACGCAAGGCAGCGGUGAGUCAUUUGAGCAUUUCGUCACAGAGCUAAAACUCCUUGUCAAAGACUGUGGCUACGAUAAAAGCGAUGAAAUGGUCCGUGAUCGUAUAGUUUUCGCGACCAACUCCCCGCACGUGAGAGAAAAGCUUCUCAGCCAAGGACCGGAGCUAACGCUAGAGAAAGCCAUAGACAUAGCCCGUUCCUAUGAGCUAGCUAAAUCACAGCUUAAAGCCAUGGCUAACGACAACCACGAAGUACAUGCAGUACGUCGCAGAAGCGGGAAACAAGCCAUCCCAAUGCGAACAAACAAGACAAAUGACAAGGCUUGUACGGCAUGCGGAGGAAAGCAUGACAAGCGAACGGAGUGUCCAGCGAAAGGCAAACAGUGUUUGAAAUGCAGAAAGUUUAACCACUUUGCAAAAGUGUGCAGAUCAAAUCCCAAUAGUCAGAGGAAAACAGGGCACAGGGAGGUGCACACUGUCCAAGAGACUACUGAUUCUGAUCCCGAGCUGUUCAUAGACACUAUAGCAGCAGGUGAGGACAACGAAGACAGUGCAUUUGCUGAUAUACAGCUAGGCCCAGACAAGGUAAAAAUAACCUUCAAGUUAGACACUGGAGCACAAGCAAAUAUUAUACCAGCAGAAGUUUUCACAAAGCUUAACACAUCAUUAAAGAAAGACAAAGACAAGCUGUUUGGAUACGGAGGACACCCACUAAAAGUCAAAGGCCACUGUGAACUAGUGAGCAGAUACAAGGAC